rnacentral:rRNA from 1 species
GACGAACGCUGGCGGCGUGCCUAAUACAUGCAAGUAGAACGCACGGUUUAUACCGUAGCUUGCUACACCAUAGACUGUGAGUUGCGAACGGGUGAGUAACGCGUAGGUAACCUGCCUGGUAGCGGGGGAUAACUAUUGGAAACGAUAGCUAAUACCGCAUAAUAUUAAUUAUUGCAUGAUAAUUAAUUGAAAGGUGCAAUUGCACCACUACCAGAUGGACCUGCGUUGUAUUAGCUAGUAGGUGAGGUAACGGCUCACCUAGGCGACGAUACAUAGCCGACCUGAGAGGGUGAUCGGCCACACUGGGACUGAGACACGGCCCAGACUCCUACGGGAGGCAGCAGUAGGGAAUCUUCGGCAAUGGACGAAAGUCUGACCGAGCAACGCCGCGUGAGUGAAGAAGGUUUUCGGAUCGUAAAGCUCUGUUGUAAGAGAAGAACGGGUGUGAGAGUGGAAAGUUCACACUGUGACGGUAUCUUACCAGAAAGGGACGGCUAACUACGUGC